AAAAGCACAUUUUGUCAGAUUUCUUUGUCAGUUAAAUACCUACAAAUAUUGCUUUAGAUUGAGAGUUUUGGCUGAUCAAUGAGUGUCUGAUUGAGUCCCCAAUGUAAAGUCCAAAGAAUGAUCUCCCACCGGUGACUGGUUGUAAAUUUAAUCACUGAUGUAUCCAUGCAGAUUGUUUUAAUUUAGAGAUAUCUUUCUUUGGAAUUUCUGCCACCACACCAAAACAACUGGAUUGAAUUGAAUUUUAUUUGUGCAGCUCUAAGCAUUAAACACAAUUACACUUACAGCACAAUGUUCUCUUUAGAAGCGAUGCCUCAUAGAUGUGAAGUAGAUUUUGGCUGUUUUUCAACAGAUCAUAAUUAAAAUGUGUAGAGACAAGAUUGAUUUAAACAAGCAUUAAACAUAAACAAUUUAAUUUUUUCUGUGAAGUGAAAUAAUUUUAAUAAUAAUAUUGCAAUAAAAAAAACUGUAUUUUAAAGUUUGCUAUUGGAGCUACCCUUAAAAUUUUGAUCAAGAAUUGUACCUCAAUGUCACUUUCUCUAUAUGAUUUGAUAAAUAAGUUACAAUAUAUUGCUUUAAAAUGUGUAUUUUGCUUUGAUUCUGUGGCAGACCAUCUUUUAAAUUCACUCAGAUGCUCACUUCUCUAUCCUGGCACUGAUGGUGCACAGCUGGAAAAGGUAUUAUGGGCAGGUAUCUAACAGACACGUGGCAAGCUGCAGAGUUCCUGGGGAGUGAGGAAGGAAGGAUGUUCCGUCACUGCUGCCCACAUUAGUGCCCCCUGUGUUGGUGCUGACCGAUGGAGGAACCACCUCCGGUGUGCACUGUUGUGGUUCACUUCAGUGGAUGUGCAUCAUGGGCAGUCCCUUGUAUGAAGUGGAGGUGUGCGUCUGAUGGUGUGUCACGUUGUGUCCUUAUUGAUCAACCACGUGAAGCACCCGUCUGCUCUGUGUAUCCAAGUGGUCACACAUUUCUAUUUGAAGAAUGCUUUCAUCUAUAAAGGGCAUAAUGUGGUUGUCUUAACAGAGAGAGUGGGGGUGCAUGGGGCUUCACGUCCUCCUUCUUCUCUGAUGUAGCCAUUUUUCUGAAACUGUCUUCGUUCAGCGAGCCUCGCAGCAGACACAGAACGUCGUUUUUGAUUAAUGACAGUGAAACAAAAGUGAUAUCCACAAAUAUAAAUAGCAGCUGCAAGUGGGAGGGCUGGAAAUUUAACAUCCUCUAACUUGUGAAGUGGGAGCAAGUUUAACUCUUAGAAAGACUUAGAAAUUGACUGGCUGCAGAUGGGGCCUUUCAAGCUAGAUGCCACACAGUCAUCCUUUAAAACACUCUAUUUUGUACUCAAUAUUUUUUAUAUAAUAAGUUAAAUAGAGGUGGGGGUCAUACGGUAAUUUCUUGUAUAACUACCCCACAAUAUUUUGCUUAUAAUGAGAGUAAAAGUCUCAUAACACAAACAAAUGUUAAAUACAUGAUACUAUAUUGCAAAACAGCAGUCAAUCAUAUAUCACAAUAUCUUUGUUACUGAAGAUAAAAUGAUUGUUUAAAUACAAUAGACAGUACAGUGUUGCACACCUGGCAGACAGACUGUGGAGAAAGAGAAUGUUUCUUAGAAACAACUAUAAACCAUUUAUUUACCAUUAACAAACACGCUUUAGUAGUAAGUUGUGACCAAGAUACAUACUGAAUGGGACAAUUUACAGUUGAAAAAUCAGUCUAGCACUAGAGUCGCUUUGGUUAUGGGCCUUCAUCAGGCAUCAGAAACAACUAAAGCUGCAGGCUAUGACAACCUAUCAAGAAGCAGAGCCAAAUAUCGAACACCUCAUGUAAUAAUAAAUACAUAAAAUAAAACAUCCAUAAAUUGUGACUAACAAUAUUUGUCAAAAUACAUAAUUGAUGACUGAUUUUGACAUAUACUGCAUGAUGCCUGACCAAAGACCAUCACCAAAAUGUUGUGUCUCCAAUAAGCUCGGUGUUGACAGUGAGCAGGAAUUCAACCUUUACUUCCACAGAGAGCUGAGACAAAAUGUGUACCAAAGUGUGGAGAAUAGCUCAGGACGGUUAGCUGACUCCGGCUAUCUCGCAGCCAAACUAGAGAUAGACUGAAGAGUGACUGAUGUGAGUUCUCAGUUUGUGUUUGUGGAAGAGAUAUCGUCUCUGGCUGCGAGAUGCGAAACCGUGGAAGUCGAGAGAACAGUGUGUGGAUUCUACUUUAUUCAGUCUGUCCCUGCCAGGUAGCUAACACCAGCUAGCCAGCUGUCUGCAGAUAUUGGGCUGAUGUCAACACAAACAGUGCAGAAGAAUUAGUAAGCAGACUUUCAGUUUCAGCCUUGCCUGUGCUCAAAGCGGAGGUGCUGUUCUUAUUUGAACUUGUAACGUGACAGUCAAUUCGUAGCUGUAUGGGACAUCUUUUAUUUUUUUAAUCUGUGUCAUAUGUGUGUCAUGUUUUGCAUUUGCUAAAGAAAAAAAAUCCUUGGUCCACAUUUUUAUAUUCAGGGAAACAACAGUGUUGCAACAUAGAACUUCAUGUGAAAAUUGUAACAGUGGAUGAAGCUUACAGACCAUGAUGGCUUAAAGAGGAAUGUAUUUUCACCAUCUGUCCUUUGAGGAUGAGAAAUAAAAUUGCACAAUGGAAACCUGUUGUGAUUAAUGAUAAGGUUCCUAAGAAACACUGUUUUUGUUCAUGGAGGUGUUCCAUGAUUUGUAUCCCCUCAAGAGGUCUCAACAUGCUGGGACUUGAGUCUCCUACGGCCCGACCUCUAUUUUCCACCCGAGGUAGAAGUGGGACUGCUAAUGUGCAAAUUGCUUUGCUUAAGUGAGAAUGAUGGUUACCCGGAGGUGAGAUAUAGCUAAACUAUUGGUUGUCAUGCAGGCCUAAAAUAACACAGCAGAUAAGCAAUCAAUAUCAGUUUCUGGAAAAAUUCUAAGACGAAGCACCAAAAACAUGCGAUAAAACCUCUGAAUCAUUCUGAAUCAGUUCUAACACGCAGCGUAUUCCUUUUUUAAAACACAGUCAAACUUUAGUAGACGUCCCCUCUGUGCCCUCACUGUUUCUCCAGAGCUAAUAACUCUUUCCGAUGGAUUUUUGAUCUAAAAUAACAAGCCAGGGUUGAACAUGAGUGGGAUGGUCGACUGGAUCUCAAUGUAAAUGUCCUGACUUCCUCUCUCUACUGUAGUAGACCAGUGAGCGUAACAGACACAUUAUGGUGUCUGUUAAGUCCAGAGCAGCCGGGAUUGCACAGUUAUACAGUUCAUCAGGUCCACAAAGGAGACCCUUUGAUUUGUAGUAGUAGAAAAUCCAUUGAAGGACCACACACUGAUAGUGGAACAACCCCAACUUUAAAGCAAUGUGGAUGUAUUACAACAAAUGCAGUGUGGUCAGAGUCAAUGUCUCACUGACUGACACAUGUUUAAAUGCACAUGUGCCACAGUUUCAUAUAGACCUCUCUUGAAUUUGCAAUGAAACCUAAUAAAAUUAUUAUUCCUA